rnacentral:rRNA from 1 species
CAGUAGGGAUCUUCCACAAUGGGCGAAAGCCUGAUGGAGCAACGCCGCGUGUGUGAUGAAGGCUUUCGGGUCGUAAAGCACUGUUGUAUGGGAAGAAAAGUUAAGGUAGGGAAUGACCUUAGCCUGACGGUACCAUACCAGAAAGGGACGGCUAAAUACGUGCCAGCAGCCGCGGUAAUACGUAUGUCCCGAGCGUUAUCCGGAUUUAUUGGGCGUAAAGCGAGCGCAGACGGUUGGUUAAGUCUGAUGUGAAAGCCCGGAGCUCAACUCCGGAAAGGCAUUGGAAACUGGUUAACUUGAGUGCAGUAGAGGUAAGUGGAACUCCAUGUGUAGCGGUGGAAUGCGUAGAUAUAUGGAAGAACACCAGCGGCGAAGGCGGCUUACUGGACUGUAACUGACGUUGAGGCUCGAAAGUGUGGGUAGCAAACAGGAUUAGAUACCCUGGUAGUCCACACCGUAAACGAUGAACACUAGGUGUUAGGAGGUUUCCGCCUCUUAGUGCCGAAGCUAACGCAUUAAGUGUUCCGCCUGGGGAGUACGACCGCAAGGUUGAAACUCAAAGGAAUUGACGGGGACCCGCACAAGCGGUGGAGCAUGUGGUUUAAUUCGAAGCAACGCGAAGAACCUUACCAGGUCUUGACAUCCUUUGAAGCUUUUAGAAAUAGAAGUGUUCUCUUCGGAGACAAAGUGACAGGUGGUGCAUGGUCGUCGUCAGCUCGUGUCGUGAGAUGUUGGGUUAAGUCCCGCAACGAGCGCAACCCUUAUUGUUAGUUGCCAGCAUUCAGAUGGGCACUCUAGCGAGACUGCCGGUGACAAACCGGAGGAAGGCGGGGACGACGUCAGAUCAUCAUGCCCCUUAUGACCUGGGCUACACACGUGCUACAAUGGCGUAUACAACGAGUUGCCAACCUGCGAAGGUGAGCUAAUCUCUUAAAGUACGUCUCAGUUCGGACUGCAGUCUGCAACUCGACUGCACGAAGUCGGAAUCGCUAGUAAUCGCGGAUCAGCACGCCGCGGUGAAUACGUUCCCGGGUCUUGUACACACCGCCCGUCACACCAUGGAAGUUUGUAAUGCCCAAAGCCGGUGGCCUAACCGUAAGGAGGGAACCGUCUA